CCGCUUUUAGUUUAUGUAGAACGUCGGUCUUGUAAGUCGAAGGGGUUGGUUUAUUCCUGCAAGGCGGU